GCCUUGGUGGCUCAGUUGGUUGAGUGAGUGUCUGACUUCAGCUCAGGUCAUGAUCUCAUGAUUUGUGGGUUCGACCCCAUUUCAGGCU
rnacentral:tRNA from 1 species